rnacentral:lncRNA from 10 species
CCCGGGCAUGGUGGCGCACGCCUGUAGUCCCAGCUGCUUGGGAGGCUGAGGCAGGGGAAUCGCUUGAACCUGGGAGGCAGAGGUUGUGGUGAGCCGAGAUUGCGCCACUGCACUCCAGCCUGGUGACAAAGCAAGACUCCGUCUCAAAAAAAAAAAAAAAAAAAAAUUAAAAAACAACAACAACGGAGUUUCACUCUUUGUUGCCCAGGCUAGAGUCCAGUGGUGUGAUCUCGGCUCACUGCAACCUGCGCCUCCUGGGUUCAAGCGAUUCUCCUGU